rnacentral:lncRNA from 1 species
AUGAAAAAUUGUAUUAGAGCUCUCGUUUGGGCGUGCAUUUAUUUACAGGGUGUCUGGCUGGGGUGCUGGGAACGCGGCUUUCUGUCGGGGAGUGACGGAUUUUCUAGGGCCAAGCUGUUGGGGCCGAGCCCAUGCGCCUGCCCUUAUUUGAUUUCACCCAUGGUCAGAGAGAGACUCCAACGGUGGCAGGAGACCCCCAAGUCACCUCCCAACCCAGUGGUGCCUGUUGGCUUCUCCUUGCCUGUGGGUAGAGAAAGACACGCAAGCCGGGGAGAGUUUCUGAGGACAAAAGUGAGUGGAUGCACGACAGAAAUCAUCAGGAGGUCGCCCGGCCGUUUGAACUGCAGUGACAAAGCGACUUAUGAUUCUGGAAGUGACCCAGGUCGAAAGAACUCUGAAAAUCGCAUGCGUCAGAUGAGACCGGAAGUGCGGCCCCGUUCUGGAGCGAUUACUCAGGUUCUGCUCUGUCUUGUGGUCACCCUUGGCCUGACAAAAGGUCUAUAAGAGUUCUUGAACACGCUCGUUCCUCAGACCAAAUCCUGUGGGGGCAGAUACUCUCAUAUGAACCACUUUCACAGAUGGGGAAACUGAGGCACGGCAGUUGCAUGGUGGGUGCAGGCUUCCAACCCAAGUCUUUUGAUUGCAGCGCAGACUUUGAACCCCAAAGCGAGGUGCUCGCUGCUGUUUUUAUACCGCACAACUGAAUGGCAAUUAAGAGUGCUUUUGGGGUGGGAGGGCUUUUGGCUUGAGAUGCCCGCAUCCCGUGUUCGAGCGUCUGGGUUCAAGUCCUGGCUCUGCCCCCGAUUCCAGUUUCCUGCUAAUGCACAACCAAGGAGGUGGCUGGUGGUGACUCAGAUAACUGGGUCCCUGCCACCACAGGGGAGACUCGGGCUGAGGUCUGGACUCCUGGGUUUGGCUUGGCCCAGUCCUGACUAUUGCGGCCAUCUGGGGAGUGAACCAGCAGAUGGAGGACCGCUCUCUCUCUCUCUCUCUCUCUCAAGUAAAUAAAAAUUGUUAAAACUUCUCCA